GGAGGGGUGGCCGAGUGGUUGAAGGCACCGGUCUUGAAAACCGGCGACGCACAAGCGUUCUAGAGUUCGAAUCUCUACUCCUCCGCCA
rnacentral:tRNA from 1 species